CGGCGACGCUGGGUCUGAAGGAAGUCGGCGGCAAAUCACUGGCCUGACGUACAGAAACUUGAUACCAAGGCGUUUGCCCGUGGGUGAGACUGCCAGAGAAGUCAAAGCCCGAUAGCUAUUCGGAACGGGUGGCGUAAAUCAAGCAGGUAUAAGUGUGAAAGAUUA
rnacentral:ncRNA from 1 species